CAGUCGCCGCGGGAAUACGAAGGGUGCAAGCGUUAAUCGGAAUUACUGGGCGUAAAGCGUGCGUAGGCGGUUUGUUAAGUCUGCUGUGAAAUCCCCGGGCUCAACCUGGGAAUGGCAGUGGAUACUGGCAAGCUAGAGUGUGUCAGAGGAUGGUGGAAUUCCCGGUGUAGCGGUGAAAUGCGUAGAGAUCGGGAGGAACAUCAGUGGCGAAGGCGGCCAUCUGGGACAACACUGACGCUGAGGCACGAAAGCGUGGGGAGCAAACAGGAUUAGAGACCCGUGUAGUCCCUGUCUCUUAUAC
rnacentral:rRNA from 1 species